rnacentral:rRNA from 1 species
GAUGAACGCUGGCGGCGUGCCUAAUACAUGCAAGUCGAGCGAACGGACGAGAAGCUUGCUUCUCUGAUGUUAGCGGCGGACGGGUGAGUAACACGUGGAUAACCUACCUAUAAGACUGGGAUAACUUCGGGAAACCGGAGCUAAUACCGGAUGAUAUUUUGAACCGCAUGGUUCAAAAGUGAAAGACGGUCUUGCUGUCACUUAUAGAUGGAUCCGCGCUGCAUUAGCUAGUUGGUAAGGUAACGGCUUACCAAGGCAACGAUGCAUAGCCGACCUGAGAGGGAGAUCGGCCAGACUGGAACUGAGGAACGGUCCAGACUCCUACGGGAGGAAGCAGUAGGGAAUCUUCCGCGAUGGGCGAAAGCCUGACAGAGCAACGCCGCGUGAGUGAUGAAGGUCUUCGGAUCGUAAAGCUCUGUUAUUAGGGAAGAACAUAUGUGUAAGUAACUGUGCACAUCUUGACGGUACCUAAUCAGAAAGCCACGGCUAACUACGUG